CGUGUCGUGAGAUGUUGGGUUAAGUCCCGCAACGAGCGCAACCCUUAUGACUAGUUGCCAGCAUUCAGUUGGGCACUCUAGUAAGACUGCCGGUGACAAACCGGAGGAAGGUGGGGACGACGUCAAAUCAUCAUGCCCCUUAUGACCUGGGCUACACACGUGCUACAAUGGAUGGUACAACGAGUUGCGAACCCGCGAGGGCAAGCUAAUCUCUUAAAGCCAUUCUCAGUCCGGACUGUAGGCUGCAACUCGCCUACACGAAGUCGGAAUCGCUAGUAAUCGCGGAUCAGCAUGCCGCGGUGAAUACGUUCCCGGGCCUUGUACACACCGCCCGUCACACCAUGAGAGUUUGUAACACCCGAAGCCGGUGGGGUAACCUUUUAGGAGCUAGCCGUCUAAGGUGGGACAGAUGAUUAGGGU
rnacentral:rRNA from 1 species